UACGGAGGGUGCAAGCGUUAUCCGGAUUCACUGGGUUUAAAGGGAGCGCAGGCGGAUUUGUAAGUCAGUGGUGAAAGGCUUAAGCUUAACUUGGGAACUGCCAUUGAUACUAUAAGUCUUGAAUGUUGUUGAGGUUUGCGGAAUGGGUCAUGUAGCGGUGAAAAUGCAUAGAUAUGACCCGGAACACCUAUUGCGAAGGCAGCAGGCUAAACAAAUAUUGACGCUGAGGCUCGAAAGCGUGGGGAUCAAACAGG
rnacentral:rRNA from 1 species